rnacentral:misc_RNA from 1 species
UUAAUCUCAAAUCACUAGUUCCUUUCUUCACGGAAAUGAAGUGGUGGUUUGGACUUGGAGGUUAUUGCUGGCCCCAGGUAACGACAUUGUUGUUACCUUUGGUUUGGUCGGCUCCUCUCAAAUACAUUAGCUGGACUUUGGUCUGCGUUUUACGGUGUGAUAAUUAUCACUUCACCAGAGCGCUUGCCUAAUGGGUCUGCUUCUAAUCGUCCUUAAGUUGGACAAGGAUUCCCGUUAGUGGGGCCUUCUUGACAC